rnacentral:rRNA from 1 species
CUGGAGGUAUCAGAAGUGCGAAUGCUGACAUAAGUAACGAUAAAGCGGGUGAAAAGCCCGCUCGCCGGAAGACCAAGGGUUCCUGUCCAACGUUAAUCGGGGCAGGGUGAGUCGACCCCUAAGGCGAGGCCGAAAGGCGUAGUCGAUGGGAAACGGGUUAAUAUUCCCGUACUUGGUGUUACUGCGAAGGGGGGACGGAGAAGGCUAUGUUGGCCGGGCGACGGUUGUCCCGGUUUAAGCGUGUAGGUGUGUGUUCCAGGUAAAUCCGGUUCACUUUAACACUGAGGCGUGACGACGAGGCACUACGGUGCUGAAGCAACAAAUGCCCUGCUUCCAGGAAAAGCCUCUAAGCAUCAGGUAACAUCAAAUCGUACCCCAAACCGACACAGGUGGUCAGGUAGAGAAUACCAAGGCGCU